rnacentral:tRNA from 1 species
GGGGGUGUAGCUCACCUGGGAGAGCGCUUGAAUGGCAUUCAAGAGGUAGUGAGUUCGAAUCUCAUCGUCUCCACCA